UUCCAGACUCAAUUUUAGGUCGAAACGAAACGGUAGUCACAGCCGUAAUGAUUAACUGCUUGAACUAUAGAACCUUUCUGCUAAUGGAAACGGGUGUGAGAAAUGCUCUUACCUAGAUGUUGCGGGACAGUGUGUGCUGGAUAAGAUAGAGAAUACUACAAAGUUAACUGUACCACAGAGGACCAACUUCAGCUGUAUUAGAGGCAAACAGUCAACAGGUCAAGGACUUUUUCAAUUCACAACAUCACAGCUCAGUGUCCAGACUUACUCAGCUGAUAAAUUACCGUGUAAAUCAGGAUGGAAUUCAACAGCAACUAGUGUCCAAAAGUGGAGAUACAAAUUAGACACACUGUAUGUUUCAAUUCUGGGCAAAUUUUUAAUACAAGCAAACAAAAGGAGAUCUGAGCUGAUUGCUGGUUAGUGUUCACUCUCCACGGUGUGUGUGUGUGUGUGUGUGUGUGUG